rnacentral:rRNA from 1 species
UGUCGUCAGCUCGUGUCGUGAGAUGUUGGGUUAAGUCCGUAACGAGCGCAACCCUUGUCCUUAGUUACCAGCACGUUAUGGUGGGCACUCUAAGGAGACUGCCGGUGCAAACCGGAGGAAGGUGGGGAUGACGUCAAGUCAUCAUGGCCCUUACGGCCUGGGCUACACACGUGCUACAAUGGUCGGUACAAAGGGUUGCCAAGCCGCGAGGUGGAGCUAAUCCCAUAAAACCGAUCGUAGUCCGGAUCGCAGUCUGCAACUCGACUGCGUGAAGUCGGAAUCGCUAGUAAUCGUGAAUCAGAAUGUCACGGUGAAUACGUUCCCGGGCCUU